rnacentral:lncRNA from 1 species
UGAAGGAAAGUUAUACUGUUUUUUUUUUUUUUUUUCUUUUUAGGUUCUUAUACACAGUGACAGCUAGCAGAAUCUAAAGUGCUGACAUUAUGACUUAGAGAUGUGAUAAAGAGAAACAUCUAUUGCAUUUUCUACAACAGCAGCAAUUACAAAAGGAGACAAUAUCUAUUCAGCACCUACUGUGUUCCAGGCACACUAUAUGAAUUAUUUUGUUUAAUUUGCAAGCAAUUUUGUGAGGUAAGUACCACUAGUAUCCACAAUUUACAGAUGGAAAUGGGAUUAUAGUAGAGUAAAACAACUAAUGAUAUUGACAAAGUAAUGAAUCCUUAGCACAGGACUACAAGCUUAUCCCUCCUGGACACAAUGUAUACAUUAGAAUAGCAUGUGCUUGGAAACAAGAUGUCUUACCUCAAG